rnacentral:rRNA from 1 species
UACGGAGGGUGCAAGCGUUAUCCGGAUUCACUGGGUUUAAAGGGUGCGUAGGAUGGCAGGGAAGUCAGUGGUGAAAUCUCCGGGCUUAACUCGGAAACUGCCGUUGAUACUCUCUGUCUUGAAUCCCGUGGAGGUGAGUGGAAUAUGUCAUGUAGCGGUGAAAUGCUUAGAGAUGACAUAGAACACCAAUUGCGUAGGCAGCUUACUACACGAUCAUUGACGCUGAGGCACGAAAGCGUGGGGAGCAAACAGG